AUUGAACGCUGGCGGCAUGCCUUACACAUGCAAGUCGAACGGCAGCACGGGAGCAAUCCUGGUGGCGAGUGGCGAACGGGUGAGUAAUAUAUCGGAACGUGCCCAGUCGUGGGGAUAACGUAGCGAAAGCUACGCUAAUACCGCAUACGAUCUAUGGAUGAAAGCGGGGGAUCGCAAGACCUCGCGCGAUUGGAGCGGCCGAUAUCAGAUUAGGUAGUUGGUGAGGUAAAGGCUCACCAAGCCGACGAUCUGUAGCUGGUCUGAGAGGACGACAGCCACACUGGGACUGAGACACGGCCCAGACUCCUACGGGAGGCAGCAGUGGGGAAUUUUGGACAAUGGGCGCAAGCCUGAUCCAGCAAUGCCGCGUGCAGGAUGAAGGCC
rnacentral:rRNA from 1 species